rnacentral:rRNA from 1 species
UGCAGUCGAGCGGAACGAGUUAACUGAACCUUCGGGGGACGUUAACGGCGUCGAGCGGCGGACGGGUGAGUAAUGCCUAGGAAAUUGCCCUGAUGUGGGGGAUAACCAUUGGAAACGAUGGCUAAUACCGCAUGAUGCCUACGGGCCAAAGAGGGGGACCUUCGGGCCUCUCGCGUCAGGAUAUGCCUAGGUGGGAUUAGCUAGUUGGUGAGGUAAGGGCUCACCAAGGCGACGAUCCCUAGCUGGUCUGAGAGGAUGAUCAGCCACACUGGAACUGAGACACGGUCCAGACUCCUACGGGAGGCAGCAGUGGGGAAUAUUGCACAAUGGGCGCAAGCCUGAUGCAGCCAUGCCGCGUGUGUGAAGAAGGCCUUCGGGUUGUAAAGCACUUUCAGUCGUGAGGAAGGUAGUGUAGUUAAUAGCUGCAUUAUUUGACGUUAGCGACAGAAGAAGCACCGGCUAACUCCGUGCCAGCAGCCGCGGUAAUACGGAGGGUGCGAGCGUUAAUCGGAAUUACUGGGCGUAAAGCGCAUGCAGGUGGUUUGUUAAGUCAGAUGUGAAAGCCCGGGGCUCAACCUCGGAAUAGCAUUUGAAACUGGCAGACUAGAGUACUGUAGAGGGGGGUAGAAUUU